UGGGUGGAUUAGUGGCGAACGGGUGAGUAACACGUGAGCAACCUGCCCCUGACUCUGGGAUAAGCGCUGGAAACGGCGUCUAAUACUGGAUACGAACAAGAAUCGCAUGGUUACUUGUUGGAAAGAUUUUUUGGUUGGGGAUGGGCUCGCGGCCUAUCAGCUUGUUGGUGAGGUAAUGGCUCACCAAGGCGUCGACGGGUAGCCGGCCUGAGAGGGUGACCGGCCACACUGGGACUGAGACACGGCCCAGACUCCUACGGGAGGCAGCAGUGGGGAAUAUUGCACAAUGGGCGGAAGCCUGAUGCAGCAACGCCGCGUGAGGGAUGACGGCCUUCGGGUUGUAAACCUCUUUUAGCAGGGAAGAAGCGAGAGUGACGGUACCUGCAAAAAAAGCGCCGGCUAACUACGUGCCAGCAGCCGCGGUAAUACGUAGGGCGCAAGCGUUAUCCGGAAUUAUUGGGCGUAAAGAGCUCGUAGGCGGUUUGUCGCGUCUGCUGUGAAAUCCCGAGGCUCAACCUCGGGCCUGCAGUGGGUACGGGCAGACUAGAGUGCGGUAGGGGAGAUUGGAAUUCCUGGUGUAGCGGUGGAAUGCGCAGAUAUCAGGAGGAACACCGAUGGCGAAGGCAGAUCUCUGGGCCGUAACUGACGCUGAGGAGCGAAAGGGUGGGGAGCAAACAGGCUUAGAUACCCUGGUAGUCCACCCCGUAAACGUUGGGAACUAGUUGUGGGGUCCAUUCCACGGAUUCCGUGACGCAGCUAACGCAUUAAGUUCCCCGCCUGGGGAGUACGGCCGCAAGGCUAAAACUCAAAGGAAUUGACGGGGACCCGCACAAGCGGCGGAGCAUGCGGAUUAAUUUCGAUGCAACGCGAAGAAUCCUUACCAAGGCUUGACAUACACCAGACACCCUGGCAACAGGGGACUCUUUGGACACU
rnacentral:rRNA from 1 species